CAUACGACAAUGAUAAGGGAUAGUAUGUAAGGAAUCUUAGAGAAGCGAUUCAGGGGUGGUGCGAGCCUGAACUAUAGAUCUUUACAGAAAAUCACCCUUUAGUUUUGCACCGAACGAAGUUGAUCUAGUAGGCUGCGACGUCACGUUCACGUUACGAAUGCUAAGUGGAGAGAAAUCGUUAUUGCACGGUCUUCAUGCAUUACACUAUUUCUUUUCAUUAGGGUGGUACCACGGGUAAGUCUUCUCGUCCCUAUU
rnacentral:ncRNA from 1 species